rnacentral:rRNA from 1 species
UACGGAGGGUGCAAGCGUUAUCCGGAUUUACUGGGUUUAAAGGGUGCGUAGGUGGGUUGGUAAGUCAGUGGUGAAAUACUUUCGCUUAACGAAGGAACUGCCAUUGAUACUACCAGUCUUGAAUACAGUGGAGGUAGGCGGAAUGCGUCAUGUAGCGGUGAAAUGCUUAGAUAUGACGCAGAACACCAAUUGCGAAGGCAGCUGGCUACACGAAUAUUGACACUGAUGCACGAAAGCGUGGGGAUCAAACAGG